GACGAACGCUGGCGGCGUGCUUGACACAUGCAAGUCGAACGGAAAGGCCUGCUUUCCCUUGUGGAUUGCGGGUACUCGAGUGGCGAACGGGUGAGUAACACGUGAGUGAUCUGCCCCCAACUUGGGUAUAAGCCUGGGAAACUGGGUCUAAUUCCCGAUAGGACUGCAGGGUGGUGCCUGUGGUGGAAAACGAUUUUCUAGUGGUUGGGGAUGAGCUCGCGGCCUAUCAGCUUGUUGGUGGGAUAAUGGCCUACCAAGGCGGCGACGGGUAGCCGGCCUGGGAGGGUGGACGGGCACUUUGGGACUGAGAUACGGCCCAGACUCCUACGGGAGGAAGCAGUGGGGAAUAUUGCACAAUGGGCGGAAGCCUGAUGCAGCGACGCCGCGUGGGGGAUGACGGCCUUCGGGUUGUAAACUCCUUUCGACCGCGAGGAAGCCACCUGGUUGGAAGGGUGGUGACGGUAGUGGUAGAAGAAGCACCGGCUAACUACGUG
rnacentral:rRNA from 1 species